rnacentral:rRNA from 1 species
AUUGAACGCUGGCGGCAGGCUUAACACAUGCAAGUCGAGCGGGGUGAUGGUGCUUGCACUAUCACUUAGCGGCGGACGGGUGAGUAAUGCUUAGGAAUCUGCCUAUUAGUGGGGGACAACAUCUCGAAAGGGAUGCUAAUACCGCAUACGUCCUACGGGAGAAAGCAGGGGAUCACUUGUGACCUUGCGCUAAUAGAUGAGCCUAAGUCGGAUUAGCCAGUUGGUGGGGUGAAGGCCUACCAAGGCGACGAUCUGUAGCGGGUCUGAGAGGAUGAUCCGCCACACUGGGACUGAGACACGGCCCAGACUCCUACGGGAGGCAGCAGUGGGGAAUAUUGGACAAUGGGGGGAACCCUGAUCCAGCCAUGCCGCGUGUGUGAAGAAGGCCUUAUGGUUGUAAAGCACUUUAAGCGAGGAGGAGGCUCUUUUGGUUAAUACCCAAGAUGAGUGGACGUUACUCGCAGAAUAAGCACCGGCUAACUCUGUGCCAGCCGCCGCAGUAA